AGUGGUCGGGACCCGGGGAACUUGAACCUUGCUCCUUGGGUGACGAGUGGCGGACGGGUGAGUAAUGUCUGGGAAACUGCCCGAUGGAGGGGGAUAACUACUGGAAACGGUAGCUAAUACCGCAUAACGUCGCAAGACCAAAGAGGGGGACCUUCGGGCCUCUUGCCAUCGGAUGUGCCCAGAUGGGAUUAGCUAGUAGGUGGGGUAACGGCUCACCUAGGCGACGAUCCCUAGCUGGUCUGAGAGGAUGACCAGCCACACUGGAACUGAGACACGGUCCAGACUCCUACGGGAGGCAGCAGUGGGGAAUAUUGCACAAUGGGCGCAAGCCUGAUGCAGCCAUGCCGCGUGUAUGAGGAAGGCCUUCGGGUUGUAAAGUACUUUCAGCGAGGAGGAAGGUGUUGUGGUUAAUAACCGCAGCAAUUGACGUUACUCGCAGAAGAAGCACCGGCUAACUCCGUGCCACAGCCGCGGUAAUACGGAGGGUGCAAGCGUUAAUCGGAUUACUGGCCGUAAAGCGCACGCAGGCGGUCUGUCAGUCGGAUGUGAAUCCCCGGGCUCAACUGGGAACUGCUCCAAACUGGCAGGCUAAAGUCUUGAGAGGGGGUAGAAUUCCAGGUGUAGGUAAAUGCGAAAGAC
rnacentral:rRNA from 1 species